UGAUUGCGGAUUAUUGGCAUAGGCCUGCGA
rnacentral:piRNA from 1 species